AUGUCCCGGGACCAAUUCACAGCUCUUGCUCUAGCACCGAGAGGCUCUAGAAGCCCCAGCCCUGCAACCUUCUCGGAGCCAUCCUCUCCGACCGGGACAAGGAGACAAGGACUGAAUCACCUCUUCUCCCACUUUCCUUCGCGGGGCCGCUGGCACUCUCGCUCCCUCCGGCCCCGCCUGCCCUCUGUCCGAGGGUCUCCCUCCGGCUGGCUCUGCGUGGAGGCCUCAGGAGGAGCGAGCAGGACUGCCUGCUUGGCCCGGGCGAACCGCACCUCUUUGGCUUGGAACCGACUCUGAAGUGUAUGAGGACCCAGUGGGAGAGAGGACCUCGCUUGGAAAUACUUCGGGGGGUUCUUCACCUGGUCAGUUUCUGUCUGAGAGACCCUCUGGUUUCCUGAAGUCAGGAACAAUCUUCCUUUUUUUUUAGGGUUGCAUCUGCAACAUAUGGAGGUUCCCAGACGAUAGGGGUCGAAUCUCAGCCGCGGCUGCCGGCCUACACUGCAGCCACGGCAUCACCGGAUCCAACCUACACCACAGCCCAUGGCAAUGCUCGAUCCUUAACCCCCUGAGCGAGGCCAGGGAUCGAACCUGCAUCCUCAAAGAUACUAGUCAGGUCCAUAACCCACUGAGCCACAACAGGAGCUCCCAGGAAUGCUUUUCUUCAUCUUUUAUUUUAACCCUACUGCCUAGCAUACUCCAUACAACGCAGUGGUCUUGGAAGUGCGAGGAUGUAGAGGGGAAAAUACUUGGAGAGGUUUUUUUUUUAAGUGGCUUUACACAGGUUAUUUAAAGGUAUUAAAAAUACAUUCACUUUAAUGCCUCCUCUAAGCCAGCCUUCUCUCCACUCAAUCUGUGUGGUUUGAGUGGAACUGACUCCCGUCCAGUGGCUCCAGGUGAGUACCUAGGAAGCAAUUUGGGCCACUCACAGUCACCAUAAAGAAUUUUCUGGAACUACAGGAAGAGAGGCUCUUUCUCUGAAUGGGACCUCAAAUGGACUCUUAACUGCAUUUCUGGGAAAAACCUUAGCUCAAUCCUCCUGAAGCCAACAUGUCUUUUCCAUUCAGAAACUUUAUCAUUUGUUAUUGAAAAAGAAAAGUAAGGUUCCCAUUAUUUUUGUAGCCACAGAGAAAAAUUAUAGUCAUAAAAUCUGAGCCUGGAUACGGCCAGUUACCAGCUGCCGAGGUUAUUAAAGUCAUUUUUCUAUAUUGUAUGAAAACACGAAAGCGAAGGUGCUUUGGGGAGAAAAACCACGGUGCGUCCGCAGCGAUCUGGAAGCGGUACCCUAGCCACGCCGCGG
rnacentral:lncRNA from 1 species